rnacentral:rRNA from 1 species
GACGAACGCUGGCGGCGUGCUUAACACAUGCAAGUCGAGCGGUAAGGCCCUUUCGGGGGUACACGAGCGGCGAACGGGUGAGUAACACGUGGGUGACCUGCCCUCAGCUCUGGGAUAAGCCUGGGAAACCGGGUCUAAUACUGGAUAUGACUCCAUGACGCAUGUUGUGGGGUGGAAAGCCUUGUGCGGCUGAGGAUGGGCCCGCGGCCUAUCAGCUUGUUGGUGGGGUGANGGCCUACCAAGGCGACGACGGGUAGCCGGCCUGAGAGGGCGACCGGCCACACUGGGACUGAGACACGGCCCAGACUCCUACGGGAGGCAGCAGUGGGGAAUCUUGCGCAAUGGGCGAAAGCCUGACGCAGCGACGCCGCGUGAGGG